UCCCACACAUCAAGUCCAAUUGUUUCUCUAAUGUGGGGGAAAUUUCCUAGACGGAAAUUGUGAUUAAUAUCUUUUUUUUCAAAUUAGAAGACCCUUCAAAGUAAAGUCUUGGUUGGUAAUCCCGUGAUUUAACUUCAGCAACAUCCAUCUGAUCAUAUAACCCAACAAUAAAUCAGCAACAAGAUAACAAUAACACAUCCGUACUAUAACAAUAACUUAGCCACAAAUUGUUUGAAUAACUCAGUCACAUCAUAACAGUAACUCAGCCACAACAUAAAAGUAACUUAGCCACAACAUAACAUUAACUUAGUCACGACACAGCGAUAGCUCAGCCAUAACAUAACCCUUACUCAGUCGCAACAAAACC
rnacentral:lncRNA from 1 species